AAACAGUCACAGCUGAAUAGUGGAGAGAAAAAAGCUCUGUAUUUAUUGCUUUUGUUUGGCUUUUGGCUACAGAGACAGGAACAUUCUAAUGGGAACAAGUAUGUAAAACUCUGAAUUUCAAAGCUGUGCUACCCUCAAACUCCUCUUCCAUGAAUAUUAAGGGACUUCAGAGGGAAAGGAAGAUAUGUUUUACUUAAUUUAGGUGUUUCAUGACAUUUCUACGGCUUGAAGAAUUCAACACUUUACAGAAAUUCUUCCGGAUCAUCUAU